UCCCUGGUGGCUCAGAUGGUAAAGCAUCUGCCUGCAAUGCGGGAGACCCAGGUUCGAUUCCUGGGUUGGGAA
rfam:Ovis aries breed Texel chromosome 2, whole genome shotgun sequence.